AUUUUAUUAUUUUUAAUUAUAAACAGUGUUUUGUAAUUGUGUUAAAAAUACAUAUUUUUUUUUGAUACAGGGUCCUGCUCUGUGGCACAGACUGGAGUGCAGUGGCGUGAUGACAGCUCACUGCAGCCUCCACCUCCCAGGCUCAGGGGAUCCUCCCACCUCAGCCUCCCGAGUAGCUGGGACUACAGGCAUUUGUCACCAUGCCUAGCUAAUUUUUGUAUUUUCUUGGUAGAGACAGGGUUUCACCAUGUUGCCCAGGCUGAUCUCGAACUCCUGAGCUCAAGCAAUCCGCCUCCCUUGGCCUCCCAAAGUGCUGGGAUUACAAGCAUGAGCCACCGUGCUGGGCCUAAAUAUUUUAAAUAUUUUCUUUUUUUUUUUCUUUUGAGACAGGGUCUCACUCUGUUGCCCAGGCUGGAGUGCAGUGGUGCAAUUAUGGCUCACUGCAACCUUCACUUCCCGGGCUCAGGUGAUCUUCCCACCUCAUUCUCCUGAGUAGCUGGGACUACAGGAGUGUGCCACCAUGGCUGGCUAAUUUUAAAAUUUUUUUCGUAGAGGCGGGUUUUCACCAUGCUGCCCAGGCUGGUCUUGAACUCCUGGACUCAAACAAUUCGCUCACCUCGGCCUCCCAAAGUGCUGGGACUACAGGCAUGAGCCACCGCACCUGGCCUUUCUUUCUUUCUUUCUUUCUUUUUUGAGACUGAGUCUUGCUUUGUUGCCCAGGCUGGAGUACAAUGGUGCGAUCUCAGCUCACUGCAACCUCCGCCUCCCAGGUUAAAGCAAUUGUCCUGCCUCAGCCUCCUGAGUAGCUGGGAUUAUAGGCGUGGGCCACCACACCCAGCUAAUUUUUGUAUUUUUAGUAGAGAUGGGGUUUCACCAUGAUUAGCCAGGCUGGUCUCAAACUCCUAACCUCAAGUAAUUCACCUGCCUCAGACUCCCAGAGUGCUAGGGUUACAGGCAUGAGCCACCACACCUGGGCCAACUCCCAGGUUCAAACCAUCCUCCCACCUCAGCCUGUGGAGUAGCUGGGACUAUAGGUAUGCCACCACGCCCAGCUAAUUUUUUCAUUUUUAUUUUUUUGUAGACUCACUAUAUUGCCCAGGCUGGUCUUGAACCCUGGGGCUCACAUGAUUCUCUCCGCCUCAGCUUCCCAAAUUGCUGGGGUUAGAGGUGUGAGCCACCGCGCCCUGCCUACGGGUCUUUUGAAUGCUGCAUCCUAUAGAUAUUUUUUUCCUUCAACCCAGAAGCCAAAGCAUAAUUCCCUAAAUUCUUCAGAGCUGUCUUGGUGAGUUCAGGUGGUCUGCAAACCGCUAUUUCCAGAAGGCUGGCAUGGGGGCCUGUGUCUUCCUCCUUGCAGCCCUGUCCAGGCCCCUCCUCUUCUUGGCUCCCACCCUCUAGGCAGUUACUGGUUAUCUACUUCGUCCUUCCCGGACUUGACUGUUGGGCUCCUCGAGGGCUUCCCCCUUGUUAGUCUUCUCUUCCUCAGACCCCUUAGCCUGAAAGUGUGUUCCCCCAGGGCUUUCCUUGGCGGGCGGGCGAGCGGGCGGCGGCUGUCCUCUUGGGGCCCCCACCCUGGCCAUCCCAUGCGGCCGUCCCUCCUCCACACGGUCCUGCUUCCAUCUUAGGGAGGGCAGAGCUCAGUGAUCCUGCGCCUUCCUCAGGGACUCUGGGACACAGGUUACUUAGGGCCGAGAGCCCAGGAAGCCCUGAGAGGGCAAAUGCAACGGCUCCGAAGAGCCAUACGGAGAAGGGCGGCGCAGCCGGCCGUUGGGCCCCAUGCCCCGCCUUCUGCAACCCCACGCCACCCAACCCCACCACACGCCACCCUCCGUCCCGCAGCUGCCCCGGCCCACAGCCCCCAGUCUCUGCAGUCGCUGAAUGCGCCCCCCUCCCCUCCCCGCCAUCCGUGGACGCCAGAAGCCAUGGACACUGGAGAAUGUCAGGGAAAGGUCAAGUUCUUCCUUGGGAUCCGAGGGCGAGGACAGAGCUCCCGGAAGCACCAGGGGCCACAAGAGUUGGGCCGCCCUCCACACCCGCCCCGCGCAAGGUCCGCCACCCUCUACCCCCAUCCCAAGCUGGGAUCCUCCCUGCCCUUCACCCCCUUCCGUGCGAUGUCCACCUUCCCCGGAGUCAGCGCAGGAGAUGCCCCACCUCGGCUGCCGCGGGCGGGGACCGAAGGUGCAGCUCGGCCUGGCGAUGCGGGGCCAUGAGUAAAGGUCUGGAGGACACGGAGCUGGCCAGGGUCCGGGUUGCACGCCCCGCGGCCACACCGGAGUCCACGCUGCAGCGGGGGUCCGAGCCCGUUUUCAGGGUCCAGGGACGUGGCGGCCUGGCCCUCAGCACAGUGGCCCACAGCCCCGCCUCAGGGCUGUGCCCCCGACUGCGCCCGGCUCUGUCCCCACCUCCCCAACCCCAGAUGAGAUUUCACCGUGUUGGCCAGGCUGGUCCUGAACUCCAGAUCUGCCCAUCUUGGCCUCCCAAAGUGCUGAGAUUACAGGCAUGAGCCACCACAUCCAGCCAUAAUUUUAAAAAAUGGCUUCCUGAGGUUUUACAAGAAAAUAUGCACCUCAAAAUACACAAAAAGGCAUGGGAAUAGAGUACAGGUGAAGUGAAAGAUAAAAUGUACUGAGAGCUGGGAGUAGGAGAGACAAGGCCCUGGCUGAGGGGGUGUCAGUGGGCCUCCCAACACCUCAAGCCAAUCCACUUGGAAGUCUCCCAAAGUUCAUCAGGAGAACCACCUACAGCCAAGAACAGAAAAGGAUUCAAGAAAGCCGCACAGAUAUCAUGCCCUGACCUGCAAUGAGGCUGCUCACUUCCCAUGACUUCUGCUUGAUACCAUUCAAGCCUGGUUAGCUCAUGCUGAAGAAAUAUUUACUAGAAGCCUCAGAUAUGGGUGCCUAGAAGGAAAAAGAUCCAAGUUCUCUGUGGUGGUGCAACCUGUGGGAACUAUUGCCUCAUGCUCAGAAGGCCAAGCACUAGGCUCCCAUACAGUACCUACAAGACAGACACUCUGUGAGCCAGAUUUUUUCUCUUUUGGAGGGAGACCCCAAGUGCUCUCCUCUGGGUGCCCGAGUGUUGGAAUGGGCGGAUGCCAAGACUUCAUUCUAGCUCUUGGUCAGCAGCAGCACUAAGGGGUCUCUGAGAAGCAUCAGAGAUUUCACCACUGAUGAACUGCCAGGAGGCUAGUGGGGGCGGACUGAGGAGACACUGAAACACCGAAGCUGCCGCCACCACCGGCUGAUGCAAGUUUUAUUGAGACAAUAUACAAACAGGCCAUGGAAACAAGGGUUUUGAUGCUGGGACCAGUAACGUAAAACGGAAUACAAAAAUAAAAAGGCACUAAUCUGUUAAGAAAAGACACUCGAUGUAUUCUAAGAAUAUAAGUCAUUUAAUACUGUUAAUUUUAUAGCACAAAAUAAAACAAGCUAUGAUCCCCAAAAAUAAUUUUAAAAGCUUACACAGAAAAUAUUAUUGCCUGAAGUUUAUGAUCUUUAAGUUACAGGUCAAAAGAGUUUUAUGUUGUUGUUGUUGUUUUUGUUUUAAAACACACAGUGAAGACCGUCUAAGAAGCAAGGCCACUGUUCCUCCUGUAGGGACAACGAUCCUGUCUCAGAGACCUGUCCUUCUGCUCCUUUAGAAAACAGAACCAGCACAGUGUCCACACCGACAGCAGUUACUAGGGGCAUAGUCCUCCGGUCGCAGAGGGUGGAGUUGAGGCAGAGCUCAGUGGUGUCCACAGAAAGCAUUAGUCUUAGGUACUGUGUUAAAACAAUCAAGAAUUCAUUCAUGUUUAAGAGGUUAAUAACCAUAAUAUUAAAGGAUUAAAUUAUAAACACCUGGCAAAAAACCACAUUAUCCCUUUUCAAAAAUAAAAUGUUCAUAUUCCUCUGAGCAAACAUCACAAGAGCAGUGGCCAUCUGCCUCAGGCCUGCCUUGUCUGUAAACAGCUGUAAAGGAAAGCUAGCACAGCGCCAGGGACACAUGAACUCCCAGGAGGGCACAGCUGUCCUUCCCUUUCAGCUUUCCAAACAUGAGCACAGAAGGUGUCUAGUCUGGGUGACCAAAGUCCUCAAACGGCAGCCGGUCAACACAUCGUCUUCCUCGUUAACCAUGUCGUCAGGUGGUUUCACACAGCACAGACAUGGCUGACUCCUGUACCGCAGGUCCUUCCCGGGAUACACAAGUUUUUAACCAGUCAAUGCCCUCUAGUACGUAAUUUGUUUCC